CCAGCAACCCCAAGGUCCAGGUGGAGGCCAUCGAAGGGGGAGCCCUGCAGAAGCUGCUGGUCAUCCUGGCCACGGAGCAGCCGCUCACUGCAAAGAAGAAGGUCCUGUUUGCACUGUGCUCCCUGCUGCGCCACUUCCCCUAUGCCCAGCGGCAGUUCCUGAAGCUCGGGGGGCUGCAGGUCCUGAGGACCCUGGUGCAGGAGAAGGGCACGGAGGUGCUCGCCGUGCGCGUGGUCACACUGCUCUACGACCUGGUCACGGAGAAGGUGAGAGGAGGCUGAGCUGACCCAGGAGAUGUCCCCAGAGAAGCUGCAGCAGUAUCGCCAGGUACACCUCCUGCCAGGCCUGUGGGAACAGGGCUGGUGCGAGAUCACGGCCCACCUCCUGGCGCUGCCCGAGCAUGAUGCCCGUGAGAAGGUGCUGCAGACACUGGGCGUCCUCCUGACCACCUGCCGGGACCGCUACCGUCAGGACCCCCAGCUCGGCAGGACACUGGCCAGCCUGCAGGCUGAGUACCAGGUGCUGGCCAGCCUGGAGCUGCAGGAUGGUGAGGACGAGGGCUACUUCCAGGAGCUGCUGGGCUCUGUCAACAGCUUGCUGAAGGAGCUGAGAUGAGGCCCCACACCAGGACUGGACUGGGAUGCCGCUAGUGAGGCUGAGGGGUGCCAGCGUGGGUGGGCUUCUCAGGCAGGAGGACAUCUUGGCAGUGCUGGCUUGGC
rnacentral:lncRNA from 1 species